CUUAGAAGCAGCCAUCAUUUAAAGAAAGCGUAAUAGCUCACUGGUCGAGUCGGCCUGCGCGGAAGAUGUAACGGGGCUAAACCAUGCACCGAAGCUGCGGCAGCGACACUGUGUGUUGUUGGGUAGGGGAGCGUUCUGUAAGCCUGUGAAGGUGGCCUGUGAGGGUUGCUGGAGGUAUCAGAAGUGCGAAUGCUGACAUAAG
rnacentral:rRNA from 1 species